AAAAAAUUACUUAUCUUACAUAUUAAUAUCAACAAUUAUCUUUAUAUUAUUCUAGUUAGUUGCCUUUCAGUAUAGGAAACAUAAGAAAUUAAUUUUUCUGUUUUAUUAUUUCAGAUUCUUUUGGAGAGGCCAAGAAUCUUCCUUUGACUCCAGAUCAGAAAUUUUCUGAAGGAGGUGUUAUAAAUACUCCUGAAAGAAAGAACCUACAACUGCUUUCUCAGUCAGCCAAAGGACCAUGAUUCGUUUGGAUCUCAGUCACCAGGGAGAUGAGGUGGAAGGAUAUAACCCAGACUUGGGUGUGAUGAACUUUAAGCUACAGCAUAAAGAAGGAAAUCCGUUGAUUUAAGACAUCUGAUGUUAGCAGGCAACAGAAGGCACCAGUGGAAUUCUUGUUGUACCAUGGAUUGUGGAAGCUUUGAGCUAUACAGAGUUCCAGAAAAGGAGCAGCAUGAGGAGUGCACAGAAGCAGGGGUGGACAUGUGGAAAACAGAGGCAGCCUGAAUCAAUAAAGGAUUCUGAAAGAACUGAGAAUAAGCAAUCAGAUGAAAAAGAAGAAAAUCCCGUAGUAGAAUUACAUGGGGAAAAUUCAGGAGGGGCGGAGCCAAGAUGGCAGAGUGAAAGCAGUGACUUGCUUCAGCUCUCCCCCAAACCCCUCCAAAUACUCAUAAAAAAUGUCUCUAAACAAAUUCUGAAGCAGCAGAACCCACAAAAAGACAGAGUGAAACAAAUU
rnacentral:lncRNA from 1 species